ensembl:lncRNA
GGGAGGACAGUUUAUACCUUCAGUUCACUGGAGCUACUUGAUUGCAGACUAACUGAAUGGUCUCUGGAAAGAUUAGGCAAGGCUGCAGGCAUCAGCUACCUCACCACUCUCUGCCUGGACUACACAUGUAUAGUUAAGUUCUCCUGUUGCCUGACCGAACUGGAUCUCGGUGAGAAUCACAUCGGAGAGGACGGUGGGAAAGUGCUUUUAGAGGCCCUGAGAGACAGACAAGUAGGUAUGGAUUUAUAAAAAUAUGGACAUACGACAUUAAUAAUGCAGCUGUGACCUCAUGCAAAGAUGUUACAUUAUGAAGUUAUUCCACGCAUGAAAUGUGAAGUUACUCAUAUACCAUUUCUGAGAUCAAAACUGUAUCCCACUUAAGCGGAUGGCAGUUAGGGUAAAAUGAGAUUGUAAAUAAUUUUUCCGUCUUUUUGACAGAUAAACUAUCUCCAGUAAAAAUUCAGGUGUCAACACGCAUGUCCACAGAAACACUGAGUGCCAUUAUGAAAAGUGCAAAGGAGCUUAAAUCUGGGGAAAAGAUAAGAAAGACAAAGGUGCAGUAUAAGGUUUUGUGAUGCUACACACUUACAAAUGUGACAUCUGUACUAAACAAAUGAUACGAGAGCUUUUCUCAGAACUAACUUCUCUUUUCUAAGUUAUUUUUGUAAAAUGUUUCUAGUCACAAGGCAUUUUGGGUACACUGUAGUUUCUUAAAAUUUCAUGAAAAUGUAACUGAAUUCAUAAAAAGUAUGAAUUUCUGUCUGCCAUAAUGCUCAUGACUGGCUUAUUUGAUCAUUUCUAAAGGGAAAAACAAAGUAGAUUGUCCAUCUGGAGGAUAUUGAAAGGACAUUACUGCUUUGCACAAGAAUGUUUUUCUGGUCCAUUUCACCACAUUUUCAGUUUGUCACCACAGUUUUUUUAGAAAUCGUCUUCUUUUUAUGUGGUCUGAAUUGUGUUUAACAACAGCCGUGCACCAAAUGUGACCGCACAGCAGACUCCCAGAUUAUGAACCACUUAUCUGUCAGCGGUGCACUGGCAGGGGUUCUGGAUCGAAUCUUAUUUUGUCACUCCAUUGGGUGUUUGAAAUAGCAUGAGGAUGUUUGUUUUUCCUAAGUGCAUCUUUGUCCCUCAAAGUACAUACUUGUGUUUUUUAUAACAGUUUAAUACAUGAAAUGUUUAUACUUUAUAGAAUAAUGUGAAAGACAGUUAGCACUUAUUUGUGUUUUUCUGUGUGUGUAGUAAACCUGGA